CCCCCCCUCUCUCUCUGCUCCUCUCUCACAAUCCCCUCUCUCUCUCUCUCUCUCUCUCUACUCCUCUCUCUCUCUCUCUCAAUAUCUCCCUCAAUCUCUAAAAAAAUUCCUCUCUCUCAAUAUCUCCCCAAAUCUCUCUCUCUCUCUCUCAAUAUCUCCCCCAAUCUCUCUCUCUCUCUCUCUCUCUCUCUCUCCUAUCUCUACUCCUCUCUCUCUCUCUCUCUCUCAAUAUCUCCCCCAAUCUCUAAAAAAAUUCCUCUCUCUCAAUAUCUCCCCAAAUCUCUCUCUCUCUCAAUAUCUCCCCCAAUCUCUCUCUUUCAAUAUCUCCCCUAAUCUCUCUCUAAACCAGCUGUGAAGGUACCUCCCUCUCUCUCUCAACCUAUCUCUAUCUCUCUCCUUUCUCUCUCUCUCCCUCAAUCCAUCUCUAUCUCCCCCAAUCUCUCUCUAAACAUAGAUCUUUCCACCAGAUCAACAUUAGGUAGAGGGCGAGCUCCGGCUCCGGC
rnacentral:lncRNA from 1 species